rnacentral:rRNA from 1 species
GAUGAACGCUGGCGGCGUGCUUAACACAUGCAAGUCGAACGAAGCAAUCUAACGGAAGUUUUCGGAUGGAAGCUAGAUUGACUGAGUGGCGGACGGGUGAGUAACGCGUGGGUAACCUGCCUCACACUGGGGGACAACAGUUAGAAAUGACUGCUAAUACCGCAUAAGCGCACAGGACCGCAUGGUCCGGUGUGAAAAACUCCGGUGGUGUGAGAUGGACCCGCGUUUGAUUAGCUGGUUGGUGGGGUAACGGCCUACCAAGGCGACGAUCAAUAGCCGACCUGAGAGGGUGACCGGCCACAUUGGGACUGAGACACGGCCCAAACUCCUACGGGAGGCAGCAGUGGGGAAUAUUGCACAAUGGGGGAAACCCUGAUGCAGCGACGCCGCGUGAGUGAAGAAGUAUUUCGGUAUGUAAAGCUCUAUCAGCAGGGAAGAAAAUGACGG